rnacentral:rRNA from 1 species
AUACGGAGGACGCGAGCGUUAUCCGGAUUCAUUGGGUUUAAAGGGUGCGCAGGCGGCCGUGCAAGUCAGCGGUGAAAGCCCGGGGCCCAACCCCGGAAGUGCCGUUGAUACUGCAUGGCUUGAAUGCGGUCGAGGCGGGCGGAACGGGGGGUGUAGCGGGGGAAUGCGUAGAUAUGCCACAGAACGCCGAUAGCGGAGGCAGCUCGCCAGGCCUGCAUUGACGCUCGGGCACGAAAGCGUGGGGAUCGAACAGGAUUAGAUACCCUGGUAGUCCGCACAGUAAACGAUGAUAACUCGCUGUUGGCUCGCAAGGAGUCAGUGGCCAAGCGAAAGCGAUAAGUUAUCCACCUGGGGAGUACGACCGCAAGGUUGAAACUCAAAUGAAUUGGCGGGG